AUUGAACGCUGGCGGCAGGCCCAACACAUGCAAGUCGAGCGGUAGAGAGGUGCUUGCAUCUCUUGAGAGCGGCGGACGGGUGAGUAAUGCCUAGGAAUCUGCCCUAGUGGUGGGGAUAACGUUCGGAAACGGACGCUAAUACCGCAUACGUCCUACGGGAGAAAGCGGGGGAUCUUCGGACCUCGCGCCAUUAGAUGAGCCUAGGUCGGAUUAGCUAGUUGGUGAGGUAAUGGCUCACCAAGGCGACGAUCCGUAACUGGUCUGAGAGGAUGAUCAGUCACACUGGAACUGAGACACGGUCCAGACUCCUACGGGAGGCAGCAGUGGGGAAUAUUGGACAAUGGGCGCAAGCCUGAUCCAGCCAUGCCGCGUGAGUGAUGAAGGCCCUAGGGUUGUAAAGCUCUUUCACCGGUGAAGAUAAUGACGUAACCGGAGAAGAAGCCCGGCUAACUUCGUGCCAGCAGCCGCGGUAAAGUGACUA
rnacentral:rRNA from 1 species